GGCGGCGUGCCUAAUACAUGCAAGUCGAACGAGUUCUGAUUAUUGAAAGGUGCUUGCAUCUUGAUUUAAUUUUGAACGAGUGGCGGACGGGUGAGUAACACGUGGGUAACCUGCCCUUAAGUGGGGGAUAACAUUUGGAAACAGAUGCUAAUACCGCAUAAAUCCAAGAACCGCAUGGUUCUUGGCUGAAAGAUGGCGUAAGCUAUCGCUUUUGGAUGGACCCGCGGCGUAUUAGCUAGUAGGUGAGGUAACGGCUCACCAAGGCAAUGAUACGUAGCCGAACUGAGAGGUUGAUCGGCCACAUUGGGACUGAGACACGGCCCAAACUCCUACGGGAGGCAGCAGUAGGGAAUCUUCCACAAUGGACGCAAGUCUGAUGGAGCAACGCCGCGUGAGUGAAGAAGGCUUUCGGGUCGUAAAACUCUGUUGUUGGAGAAGAAUGGUCGGCAGAGUAACUGUUGUCGGCGUGACGGUAUCCAACCAGAAAGCCACGGCUAACUACGUGCCAGCAGCCGCGGUAAUACGUAGGUGGCAAGCGUUAUCCGGAUUUAUUGGGCGUAAAGCGAGCGCAGGCGGUUUUUUAAGUCUGAUGUGAAAGCCCUCCGCUUAACCGAGGAAGUGCAUCGGAAACGG
rnacentral:rRNA from 2 species